CCAACUGAAUGGAUGGCGCCACCCACAUAGAGAGAGGGCAGGUGUUCACCAGCCAGCCGUGGGUGGAAGGAUGAAGUAUAAUUUAGAGGAAGGGUUCGUCUUGGCCUUCACUGUAGUCUCCCAACUUUUGAAAUCUCCACAAGAAAAGAAAUGAUGUCUGUUCUGUAGGCCCCAGCGCUCUACACCUGGCAGAAGGCAAACCGCAUGUAAUCUUCAAAGACUACACCUCCCGGCAUCUCCUAAUAGUGUGUGAUAGGGCCUGACUUCUGAGCAGUGCGGAAGAGGGGGAGUCACCUGAACUGUGAUUCUCACCACCUGAACCAAUCAAACCAGUUCUUAGGACAUCA